rnacentral:rRNA from 1 species
UACGAAGGGGGCUAGCGUUGCUCGGAAUCACUGGGCGUAAAGGGUGCGUAGGCGGGUCUUUAAGUCAGGGGGGAAAUCCUGGAGCUCAACUCCAGAACUGCCUUUGAUACUGAGGAUCUUGAGUUCGGGAGAGGCGAGUGGAACUGCGAGUGUAGAGGUGAAAUUCGUAGAUAUUCGCAAGAACACCAGUGGCGAAGGCGGCUCACUGGCCCGAUACUGACGCUGAGGCACGAAAGCGUGGGGAGCAAACAGG